UAAAAAUAAACAUUUCUGUGGAGAUUGGAUUUAGCUGAAAUUAGUUUAGCCCUUUUCAGCUACUUCAAUAAACUAUAUUAUUGCAUUAAAACAAAAAAAAAACUAUAUUAUCAUUUUCUAUAAAUAAAAAGAAUGGUACUUAAAUCAGUAAAAAGAGAAAAAUAUAAAUAAAAAACAAAAAUAUUACCGAAGAGACACUAAAAAACCCGA
rnacentral:lncRNA from 1 species